rnacentral:rRNA from 1 species
AUUGAACGCUGGCGGCAUGCCUUACACAUGCAAGUCGAACGGCAGCACGGGUGCUUGCACCUGGUGGCGAGUGGCGAACGGGUGAGUAAUACAUCGGAACAUGUCCUGUAGUGGGGGAUAGCCCGGCGAAAGCCGGAUUAAUACCGCAUACGAUCUCCGGCUGAAAGCGGGGGCCCUUCGGGCCUCGCGCUAUCGGGUUGGCCGAUGGCUGAUUAGCUAGUUGGUGGGGUAAAGGCCUACCAAGGCGACGAUCAGUAGCUGGUCUGAGAGGACGACCAGCCACACUGGGACUGAGACACGGCCCAGACUCCUACGGGAGGCAGCAGUGGGGAAUUUUGGACAAUGGGCGAAAGCCUGAUCCAGCAAUGCCGCGUGUGUGAAGAAGGCCUUCGGGUUGUAAAGCACUUUUGUCCGGAAAGAAAUCCUUGGCCCUAAUACGGUCGGGGGAUGACGGUACCGGAAGAAUAAGCACCGGCUAACUACGUG